UGUCUGUGUGUAAUUCUCUCUCUCUCUCUCUCUCUCUCUCUCACUCUCUCUCUCUCACUGCUCCCAGAGGAAGGUGUCUGUGUGUGAUUCUCUCUCUCUCUCUCUCUCUCUCUCUCUCUCUCUCUCUCUCACUCUCUCUCUCUCACUGCUCCCAGAGGAAGGUGUCUGUGUGUGAUUCUCUCUCUCUCUCUCUCUCUCUCCCUCUCUCACUCUCAGUCUCACUGCUCCCAGAGGAAGGUGUCUGUGUGUGAUUCUCUCUCUGUCUCUCUCUCUCACUGCUCCCAGAGGAAGGUGUCUGUGUGUGAUUCUCUCUCUCUCUCUCUCUCUCUCUCUCUCUCUCUCUCUCACUCUCUCUCUCACUGCUCCCAGAGGAAGGUGUCUGUGUGUGAUUCUCUCUCUCUCUCUCUCUCUCUCUCUCUCUCUCACUGCUCCCAGAGGAAGGUGUCUGUGUGUGAUUCUCUCUCUCUCUCUCUCUCUCUCUCUCUCUCUCUCACUGCUCCCAGAGGAAGGUGUCUGUGUGUGAUUCUCUCUCUCUCUCUCUCUCUCUCUCCCUCUCUCUCUCUCUCUCUCUCUCACUGCUCCCAGAGGAAGGUGUCUGUGUGUGAUUCUCUCUCUCUCUCUCUCUCUCUCUCCCUCUCUCUCUCUCUCUCUCUCUCACUGCUCCCAGAGGAAGGUGUCUGUGUGUGAUUCUCUCUCUCUCUCUCUCUCUCUCUC